rnacentral:rRNA from 1 species
GGAAUACAUCGGAAUCUACCUUUUCGUGGGGGAUAACGUAGGGAAACUUACGCUAAUACCGCAUACGACCUUCGGGUGAAAGCAGGGGACCUUCGGGCCUUGCGCGGAUAGAUGAGCCGAUGUCGGAUUAGCUAGUUGGCGGGGUAAAGGCCCACCAAGGCGACGAUCCGUAGCUGGUCUGAGAGGAUGAUCAGCCACACUGGAACUGAGACACGGUCCAGACUCCUACGGGAGGCAGCAGUGGGGAAUAUUGGACAAUGGGCGCAAGCCUGAUCCAGCCAUACCGCGUGGGUGAAGAAGGCCUUCGGGUUGUAAAGCCCUUUUGUUGGGAAAGAAAAGCAGUCGGCUAAUACCCGGUUGUUCUGACGGUACCCAAAGAAUAAGCACCGGCUAACUUCGUGCCAGCAGCCGCGGUAAUACGAAGGGUGCAAGCGUUACUCGGAAUUACUGGGCGUAAAGCGUGCGUAGGUGGUUGUUUAAGUCUGUUGUGAAAGCCCUGGGCUCAACCUGGGAAUUGCAGUGGAUACUGG